rnacentral:rRNA from 1 species
UACGUAGGGGCCAAGCGUUGUCCGGAUUUAUGGGGCGUAAAGAGCUCGUAGGCGGUUGGGCAAGUCAGCUGUGAAAUCUCCACGCUCAACGUGGAGGGGUCAGCUGAUACUGCUGUGACUCGAGUCCGGUAGGGGAGUGUGGAAUUCCCGGUGUAGCGGUGAAAUGCGCAGAUAUCGGGAGGAACACCAGUAGCGAAGGCGGCACUCUGGGCCGGUCCUGACGCUGAGGAGCGAAAGCGUGGGGAGCAAACAGG